rnacentral:lncRNA from 1 species
AAGAUAGAAAGAUGGAUGGUCAGGAGUCUGUCUAAAUAGAGUGCCAGAUAGUGUGUUUUAGCUGGAGAUAACUGCAUGUGCAAAGACACAGAUGGAAGAAAAGCCCACCCCAUUUAAGGAACUGUAAGAAAGUCAGAGUUAAGGGUACAGCAAGGCAAAGAUGAGAAACACAGCUGUUGUACAAAUGUCAUGUCCUGCAGGACUCUGCAUAUCAUUCUGAGAAAGUUAAACAAUAUCUUAAAGGCAAUAGGGACCCAUUGAAGGACAGG